AAGUCGUAACAAGGUAUCCGUAGGUGAACCUGCGGAUGGAUCAUUGAAAGAAGAAAAAGAAAAACUUGUAAACGGAGUCAAAUCCGAAUACAUUUCCUUUCUUUUUACAUCUUCGACUCUUUGUUGAAUUCGUUUUCCAACUUUAACGGAGUGUAAGAAACUUUGUGAGGGACUAAUUUAUUUUAUUUUCUCAACAAAACCUUUUUUACAUUCCACUUUUUACCUCAAAACUAUAUACAAACUCUUUGUACCUGUUUUUGAUGUAUAUUUGGAGCAAUUGACCUCAAAAAGAAAAGAGCGGGCGUUUGUCUGCUUCUGUUUUUUUUUGUUGUGUCUGAUUCUCCUUUUCUUAUAAAACAAAAUUUUAUAAGCACAACUCUUAGCAACGGAUAUCUUGGCUCCUA
rnacentral:misc_RNA from 1 species